NNUUUAAAUAUGACUUCGUUGAUGGUGUCAUUUACCGCAUGGACAAUCGAGUUGUGGUGGCCAAGCCUUCAUAGCGAUGUUGCUUUUUGAUUCCUUGAUGUUGGCCCUUCCAAUCACUGGAAAGCAGAAUUUAUUAGGCGUUAGAUUGUUCACCGAGUAAUGGGGAACGUGAGUCGGGUUACAUCAGUCAGCAAAGUGAAAUCUACCCAUUGUUAUGGUAAGUCUGUUUAUUACUAGUAGAAAUGCAGGUUUUGACAGCUGAUUGGCUUACGUGUCCGGUCGAAAGGUCAAUGUGGCGAAGCUGCUAUCUGAGGGAUUAUCACUGAAUGCCUCUGUAAGUCUGAAUCUCACCCAAUUUUGCAAGGGUACUUUCCGUAUCUGACACAUGACUGGCCAAGCUU
rnacentral:ncRNA from 1 species